UACCAGCACCCCGAGUGGUCGGGACGUUUAUUGGGCCUAAAGCAUCCGUAGCCGGUUCUACAAGUCUUCCGUUAAAUCCAGCUGCUUAACAGAUGGGCUGCGGAAGAUACUAUGGAGCUAGGAGGCGGGAGAGGCAAGCGGUACUCGAUGGGUAGGGGUAAAAUCCGUUGAUCCAUUGAAGACCACCAGUGGCGAAGGCGGCUUGCUAAACAAACAUUGACGCUGAGGCACGAAAGCGUGGGGAUCAAACAGG
rnacentral:rRNA from 1 species